rfam:Ailuropoda melanoleuca scaffold1405_124, whole genome shotgun sequence.
GGCCAGGAAGAGGAGGAAGCCCUGGAGGGGCUGGAGGUGAUGGAUGUGUUCCUCCGGUUCUCAGGGCUCCACCUCUUCCGGGCC